rnacentral:lncRNA from 1 species
CGAUCCGUACCCUACAUACCUGCAUAGAUUUAAUUUAAAAGAUAAUGAAAAUUGUGAAUGUGGAGAAAUAGGUACACCAGAACACAUAGUAUUUAAUUGCGAAAGACAAACAAAUAUACAA